GACGAACGCUGGCGGCGUGCUUAACACAUGCAAGUCGAACGGACAGGCCCUGCUCUUGUGGGGUGCUCGAGUGGCGAACGGGUGAGUAACACGUGAGUAACCUGCCCUUGACUUUGUGAUAACUUCAGGAAACUGGGGCUAAUACCGGAUAGGAGCUCCUGCUGCAUGGUGGGGGUUGGAAAGUUUCGGCGGUUGGGGCUGGACUCGCGGCUUAUCAGCUUGUUGGUGGGGUAGUGGCUUACCAAGGCUUUGACGGGUAGCCGGCCUGAGAGGGUGAACGGCCACAUUGGGACUGAGAUACGGCGCAGACGCCUACGGGAGGCAGCAGUGGAGAAUAUUGCACAGUGGGCGGAAGCCUGAUGCAACAACGCCGCGUGCGUGAUGCCGGGCUUCGGGUUGUAAACCGCUUUCGCCUGUGACGAAGCGUGAGUGACGGUAAUGGGUAAAGAAGCACCGGCUAACUACGUG
rnacentral:rRNA from 1 species